CCUACGGGAGGCAGCAGUGAGGAAUAUUGGUCAAUGGCCGAGAGGCUGAACCAGCCAUGCCGCGUGCAGGAAGACUGUUCUAUGGGUUGUAAACCUCUUUUGUCCGGGAGUAAACUCACAUACGCGUGGCUGUCUGAGAGUAUCUGACGAAUAAGCAUCGGCUAACUCCGUGCCAGCAGCCGCGGUAAUACGGAGGAUGCAAGCGUUAUCCGGAUUUAUUGGGUUUAAAGGGUGCGUAGGCGGUCUGAUAAGUUAGAGGUGAAAUCCCGGGGCUCAACUUCGGACCUGCCUUUGAUACUGUUGGGCUAGAGAGGAGUAGCGGUAGGCGGAAUGUAUGGUGUAGCGGUGAAAUGCAUAGAGAUCACACAGAACACCGAUUGCGAAGGCAGCUUACCAAGGUACGACUGACGCUGAGGCACGAAAGCGUGGGUAGCAAACAGGAUUAGAUACCCUUGUAGUC
rnacentral:rRNA from 1 species